rfam:Aedes albopictus isolate Foshan contig80168, whole genome shotgun sequence.
UGUUCUGUGGCUUACUUGGUUAAAGCGCCGGUCUAGCGAAUACGGAGUCGUGGGUUCGAAUCCCACCAGAACGC